rnacentral:lncRNA from 1 species
GGUGUAUGAUUGAUGAAUAUAUAUCAUGUAAUUAAUAAUACUAUAAAAUUAAUAAAAAAGAAAGAUAAUAAAGAAAAGGAGUAAGCAAGAAUUCGCUGAUACUCAUCAACAUGCAAAAACACGAACACACACACACACACACAUAUAUAUAUAUAUAGAGAGACGAAAGCUGGAUUAAUUACACUACUUUCCGCCAUCAUUCUAAUUAGAAAAGAAAAGGGUAAGCCUCUAUCUUCCUCUCCCUAAAAGAACCUAGCCACGAAUGAUUAUUAAUCUCUCGCCUAAAACCCACCCACAUUAGGGUUAUAAUCAAUUAAUUCCAGAGCUCAAUUAAUCUCCAUAUCUAACCUGCUUCAUGGGUUUUGUUGCUCUAUAAAUACUCUCUAGAGACCGAUACUUCCGCUUCUUUUGCCUCUGAGGAAUCACCAUAGACGACAGAUCAUCUUCAUCUUUCCCCAAAAUCUCCUUUAUCUUCACAGAAGCGAUCUCAUUUGAGUAGAUUAAUCUCUCAAAUUGAUCGGUAUCAAUCUUCUUCUUGUUGUUGCUUCUGUUGUUUUCGCCGCAGGAAUUGGCGUUAUCUUCAUCGCUAAGCUGCAUGAGUUGCUGAGCCGCGGCAGCCAUAUCCGAUUCUAACCAGAUAGGCUUCUGGGUUUUACGUAAAAUUACUGAUUCCGCCAUUAAAACCAUCAAUAAUUUACAGAGACCCAGGAUGAAUUAACGAGUACUGAUUUCUUCUUUGUGGUUUUUCGCUUUAUGGGUUUGGCGUAAGAGCGCGAUUUGAGGGUAUGUGUUGUGUGAGGUUUGAAGAAGAAGAAGAAACUGCAGGAUUGGUGCUAUGAGGAAGGCUAGAAGAGGUGACUCCUUUUAUAAUCUAUAUUUACAUUGAUUUAUCUUCUACGUCCACUUCUAUUUUAAUUCCUCCGCUCUCACCGUUGAUGUUGUUUACUAAGUCAAUGAUCCAAUGGUCUAAAACAUUUUGUGUUGGCUUUCUUAAUUACAAAGUAUUAAUUAUGACAGGAUUAUGUACAGUUGUGAUCCAUGG